UACGUAGGUGGCGAGCGUUGUCCGGAUUUACUGGGCGUAAAGAGCGCGCAGGCGGUCGUACAAGUCGCGUGUGAAAGCCCCCCGGCUCAACUGGGGAGGGUCACGCGAUACUGAUCGACUCGAAGGCAGGAGAGGGUAGUGGAAUUCCCGGUGUAGUGGUGAAAUGCGUAGAUAUCGGGAGGAACACCAGUGGCGAAGGCGACUACCUGGCCUGUUCUUGACGCUGAGGCGCGAAAGCUAGGGGAGCAAACGGGG
rnacentral:rRNA from 1 species